rnacentral:rRNA from 1 species
CUUGGUGAUUUGUCGCAGUGGUCACACCUCUUCCCAUUCCGAACAGAGAAGUUAAGCACUGUAGAGCCGAUGAUACUCUUUUAUGGGGAAAGUAGGCAGUCGCCAGGA